rnacentral:rRNA from 1 species
UGGGGAAUUUUGGACAAUGGGCGCAAGCCUGAUCCAGCCAUGCCGCGUGAGUGAAGAAGGCCUUCGGGUUGUAAAGCUCUUUCGGUGGGGAAGAAAUUGCACUUGAUAAUACUGAGUGUAGAUGACGGUACCCGCAUAAGAAGCACCGGCUAACUACGUGCCAGCAGCCGCGGUAAUACGUAGGGUGCGAGCGUUAAUCGGAAUUACUGGGCGUAAAGCGUGCGCAGGUGGUUGUGUAAGUCAGAUGUGAAAUCCCCGGGCUCAACCUGGGAACUGCAUUUGAGACUGCACGGCUAGAGGAUGGCAGAGGGGGGUAGAAUUCCACGUGUAGCAGUGAAAUGCGUAGAGAUGUGGAGGAAUACCGAUGGCGAAGGCAGCCCCCUGGGCUAUUACUGACACUCAUGCACGAAAGCGUGGGGAGCAAACA